UUCGAGCCUUCAUUGCAAAAAAAAGAACACAGAGAAGAGUUAGAUUCUAUGAAUUUACAACUUCUUGAAGUAACGAAAAUCAACAGGGCUAAAAUAAGUUUAAAAGAUCAACCAGUUGCUUCCGAAGUGGUACUAGUAGAUAGGGAGACUGUAAAGGUUACAUAAAACGCAUCUAUUCACAGUGAGGAUAAUAAUAGUAGUAGCAGUAAUCUCUAUUUCUAUUAGCCCCAUAAUAGCGUCAUUAAUAAUAAUAUAACUGUUAGCAACAACAGUAAUAGCAAAUAUAAUAUAUAACUCCAGCAGGGUGACCACAACUGAAAGUCAUUAGAUACUCAGAGGAGCCCUCAAGAGCUUUACACGACACCGUUGGCAUAGAGAUGGGCAGCGCUUCUGGCACCGGCUCUAUUACUAAUGAAUGACCAUCUACUAUGGCGCCCCCCUGCGAAUUCGUAAAGAAAAAAAUCCCUCCUGUUAUCCUCUGUAAAAAUUAAACUGGUGCCUUCUAUUUCAACUUUUACAAUCCAACGGCGUCAUGAUACGAGGUCAAGAGAGACAGUGAAGGGACAAUUGGUAAAAAGAGGAAGCCACCUAGUACGAGGCAAGACAGAAAUACCUGGAAGCAUUCAGGGAUCGUUCUAUUAACAUUCAGAAAGCUACAAUUUCAUAUUAUGAAAAGCAAUAUUAUACACGCUACUAAAUGUUUUCCG